rnacentral:rRNA from 1 species
GAUGAACGCUGGCGGCGUGCUUAACACAUGCAAGUCGAACGAUGAAGCCCAGCUUGCUGGGUGGAUUAGUGGCGAACGGGUGAGUAACACGUGAGUAACCUGCCCUUAACUCUGGGAUAAGCCUGGGAAACUGGGUCUAAUACCGGAUAGGAGCGUCCACCGCAUGGUGGGUGUUGGAAAGAUUUAUCGGUUUUGGAUGGACUCGCGGCCUAUCAGCUUGUUGGUGAGGUAAUGGCUCACCAAGGCGACGACGGGUAGCCGGCCUGAGAGGGUGACCGGCCACACUGGGACUGAGACACGGCCCAGACUCCUACGGGAGGCAGCAGUGGGGAAUAUUGCACAAUGGGCGCAAGCCUGAUGCAGCGACGCCGCGUGAGGGAUGACGGCCUUCGGGUUGUAAACCUCUUUCAGUAGGGAAG